CACGAAUUGAUUAUAAACAUUUUAAAAAGAUCAAUCGCAAAUGAGUUAGCAAUACAAUACAGCUGGGCCGGAAAAUUAAAGAAAAUGGGAUUUAAGGAUCUGCUGCUUUCGAAAUGUAUUAUGCGAGCUGUGCGUAUUACGGACGAUAAAGUAACUGACAAAGACAUGAUACAAAACAUAUCUAAAUGGCUCGUACAAGCCACAUUAAGAUAUGAACGCAGCCUCGAACCAAAGAAAACGUAAGUUUUUAGAAAUUGGAUUAAAUUAAUAAAUUUUUGAAAGAUAUUGAACAAUAUAAUGUUAAUUUUCUACAAAUUUGCUGUAUAAUUGGAUUUAUUAAUAACUUAAUAUAAAAACGGAGUUUAUACACAAAAAAUCGGCCUUUAA